UGUAUAAGGUAGCUCAGCAGGAUAGAGCAACGCCCUUCUAAGGCGUCGGUCGGGAGUUCGAAUCUCUCCUGGGACGU
rnacentral:tRNA from 1 species